AGCAGCCGCGGUAAUUCCAGCUCCAAUAGCGUAUAUUAAAGUUGCUGCAGUUAAAAAGCUCGUAGUUGAAUUUCGGGACCAAUAUGUCGGUCGUGCCUCGGUACGUACUGGCAUCGUUGGUUUCUCCCUUCUGACGAACCAUGAUGUCAUUUAUUUGGUGUCGUGGGGAAUCAGGACUGUUACCUUGAAAAAAUUGAGUGUUUAAAGCAGGCUCACGCUUGAAUACAUUAGCAUGGAAUAAUGAGAUAGGACGUUUGAUUCUAUUUUGUUGGUCUCUAGGAUCGACGUAAUGAUUAAUAGGGAUAGUUGGGGCAUUAGUAUUCAAUUGUCAGAGGUGAAAUUCUUGGAUUUAUUGAAGACUAACUACUGCGAAAGCAUUUGCCAAGGAUGUUUCAUUAAUC
rnacentral:rRNA from 1 species